rnacentral:rRNA from 1 species
AACGAACGCUGGCGGCAGGCCUAACACAUGCAAGUCGAGCGAGGACUUCGGUCCUAGCGGCGGACGGGUGAGUAACGCGUGGGAACGUGCCCUUUGCUACGGAAUAGCCCCGGGAAACUGGGAGUAAUACCGUAUGUGCCCUUCGGGGGAAAGAUUUAUCGGCAAAGGAUCGGCCCGCGUUGGAUUAGGUAGUUGGUGGGGUAAUGGCCUACCAAGCCGACGAUCCAUAGCUGGUUUGAGAGGAUGAUCAGCCACACUGGGACUGAGACACGGCCCAGACUCCUACGGGAGGCAGCAGUGGGGAAUCUUAGACAAUGGGGGAAACCCUGAUCUAGCCAUGCCGCGUGAUCGAUGAAGGCCUUAGGGUUGUAAAGAUCUUUCAGUGGGGAAGAUAAUGACUGUACCCACAGAAGAAGCCCCGGCUAACUCCGUGCCAGCAGCCGCCGUAAAAC